CGCUGGCGGCGUGCUUAAUACAUGCAAGUCAACUUGACUUUAGAUAGCAAUAUCGAAAGUAGGGUGGCGCACGGGUGCGUAACGCGUAGGUAAUCUGCCCUGAGGUCUGACAUAACCCGUCGAAAGGCGGGCUAACAUCAGAUGAUAUAUAAUCACGACAUCGUGGAAAUAUCAAAUCUUCGGAGCCUUGGGAUGAGCCUGCGUCUGAUUAGGUAGUUGGCGGAGUAAUAGCCCACCAAGCCUACGAUCAGUGGGCUGGUCUGAGAGGAUGAUCAGCCACACUGGAACUGAGACACGGGUCCAGACUCCUACGGGAGGCAGCAGUAAGGAAUAUUGCUCAAUGGGGGAAACCCUGAAGCAGCAACGCCGCGUGAAGGAUGAAAUACUUUGUAUGUAAACUUCUGUAAGAUGGGAAAAAUAUUCUCCUCGGGAGAAUUGAUUGUACCAUCAGAGUAAACCCCGGCUAACUACGUG
rnacentral:rRNA from 1 species